GGAUGAUCCUGUUGAGUUUCUGGAUUCUUUGCCAAAGGAUCUCGAGUGUCCUAUAUGUUUGCUUCAUCUUAAAGAACCACUUCUUACGUCAUGCGGCCAUCGAUGUUGCAAAUCUUGUGUUGACAAGAUAACAAGAAACAAGAAAUUCACCUGUCCUCUUGACAACAAGUUAUGUUCAAGAGAUAAAGAGGCAACUUUUUCAAUUUCAUUAAUUAAAUGUUGCCCUAUGUCUGUUAUAUUAGACGUGUUUUGCAGACAUUUCCUGACCGGGACUUUGAACGCAAAGUAGCAUGUCUCAAAGUGAAAUGUAGUCGAUUUAGAGAAGGAUGUGAAUGGUUUGGACAACUCAACCAACUCAAGACUCACAUGUCAAGUGGAAGUUGUGAAUUUGAGUUAGUGCAAUGUCCAUAUGCUGAAGUAGGCUGCACUUACAAGGUCGAUCGAUGUUUGACUGUCCGUCUAGCUGUUUGAUUAGUUGUUUGUAUGCCUAUAUCUGGUUUGUCUGUUUGU